rnacentral:lncRNA from 1 species
UUUACUGAAGUAGAGUUGAUUUGCAAUAUUGUGUUAGUUUCUGGUGCAUUUUGUAUGGGAAUUCAUGAUACUAUCUCUGGAACUUCUCUAUGAAUGUAAAAUUAUUCUAAAUUAAAAUAGAUUAUUUCAAAAAAGAUGAUAGCACAUCAAAAGAACACAGAAGUGAACUGAAAUAUCUCCUGAUGGCCAAAUGAUGAGAGAUUUGGAUUAUUAACUAAAGAAUGAAAUAAAUAUUCAUGAUCAGAUACUGAUAAAAGCAACUGCGUGAAUAAAUAAAUUAGUGGGGGAGAAGGAACAAUUGUUCUUUACAGAAUUCCAAUCAAUAAAUGCAGAAGAAAUGAGGAAAAUAGAUAACAUCAUUAACACCACAGGAAUAAUUUCUAACAGCUUAGAAACCAGUGAAUGCUCAAGUUGGUGAGAAAGUUUGUGGAGAAACAGGGUAUUUGCAUAUCCCUGAAAUUUCUUCCAAAUACUUAUUAAUUAUAAAGGGGGAAAAAAGGUAACUUUACAGUAAGGAAACUUGGUGGUUACCAUCUAAGUUACUAAGUGAUCAAGGUUAACAUCACCAGGAAUAAGACAUGAUCAAACAUUAGACAAACCUAAAAUGCUACAGAACACCUGAAACCAUAGUCUUCAAAAGUGUCAAGGUCAUGAAAGACAAGACAGAGAAACCAUCACAGAUCACAGUCAACUAAGAAGACAUGACAACUAAUGCAAUCUGGGAUUCUGGAUUGGAUACUGGAACAGAAAAAAGACCUUAAUGAGAUCAAGUCUGUGGUUUAGUUAACAGUGUUGCAUCAAUGCUAGUUUCUUACUUUUGCUAAACAUCACAGUUAUGGUAAGAUGUUGAUGUUAAGGGAUGACUAGUGAAGGAUAUAUGGGACCUCUUUGCACUAUCUCUGAAACUUUCCAUUUUUAUUUUAUUGGAGUGUAGUUGACUUAGAAUGUUGUGUUAGUUUCAGGUAUACAGCAAAGUGGAUCAGUUUUACAUAUUAAUAUAUCCAUUAUUUUUCCCAUAUAGAUUAUUACAAACCAUUGAGUAGAUUUUCCUGUGCCACACAGUAGGUCCUUGUUAAUCACCUAUUUUAUAGAGUAGUGUGCAUGUUAUUUCCAUUCUCCCAAUUCCUCCCUCCUCUGAAUGGUUUCACCUAUAGUAACUGUAAGAUUGGUUUUAAAAUCUGUUUGUUUCUAUUGUAUAAAUAAGCUCUUUUGUAUCAUUUUAUUAGAUUCCACAUAUAAGUGAUAGCAUGUGAUAUUUUUCUCUGCCCAACUUAUUUCAGUCAGUAUGAUAACUUCUAGGCCCAUCUAUGUUGCUGCAAAUAGCAUUAAUUCAUUCUUUUUUAUGGCUGAGUCAUUGCACAUAUGUACCACACUGCUUUAUUCCUCUGUUGAUGAACAUUUAGGGUGCUUCCAUGUCUUGGUUAUUGUAAAUGGUGCUGCAGUGAACGAAGGGGUGCAUGUAUCUUUUCAAAUUAUGUUUUUUCUCGGUAUAUGCCCAGGAAUCGAAUUGCUGGAUCAUAUGGUAGUUCUAUAUUUCGUUUUUUAAGAAAUCUCCGUACUGUCUUCCAUAGUGGUUGCACCAAUUUACACUUCCACCAACAGCAUAGGAAGAUUCCCUUUUCUCCACACCCUCUCCAGCAUCUAUUAUUUGCAGAUUUUUGGAUGAUGGUCAAAAAACAAAAAACAAAAAAACUUAAUCAAAAGGUGGGCAGAAGAUCUAAAUAGACAUUUUUUCCAAAGACAGAAAGAUAGCCAAAAAACACUUGAAAAGAUGCUCAACAUCACUAUUAGAGAAUUGCAAGUCAAAACUACAAUGAGGUAUCGCUUCUCUGCAACUUUUCUGUAUGUAAGUCAAAAUUAUUUUAGAAUUUAUAACUAUAUGCAAGUCAGACACCACCCCCCAAAGGCUCAAUUGGGGUUUGGUGUCCAAAUACUACCAUGUGCUUCUCUUCCUCUUAGUCCUGAAUUCUGGCUAAUAGUCCAUACUCACAAAGACUGAGAUAACUGGCUAAUUCAUAAGCUUUCAUCAGCACACCCUUAUUAUUGUGGAUGGAGAACAUAUUUGAGACUUCCCAAGGCACUCAUUGAGCCCAGGCUCUGGGUCCCCUAUCUCUCAUACUUAAAUACUCAGUCCUGUCAGAGACACUAGAGAAUAGCAGGCUUCCUACCACGCUGGAGAGAGCCUACUUUUUGUGUUCAUCUCGUGCACAAAGGUAAAAGCAGCAGCAGCAGUAGGUGACUGGAAAGCCAACAAUUGCAAAGGAAUGAGAGGGUCAUGCCAAGGUCCUUGAUUUCAGUGCAGACAUGGGCCCUGGCCACCAGGGCUCUGUGGAUAUCCAGCUCUCCCCAAUUCCCAGCCUCACCAAUCAGAUGCUUCAAAAAUGUUUCUUCAAAAUGUCAUUCUCUUGGUGAUUGGGUUGAAAAUCCUUUCAUUAAAACACAAGAAUGAGGAGAAUGAGAGUUUCUUUAAAAAAAUAGAAGUACUCUCAAAGAAUAAAACAUUGUAGCACAAUAGAAACAAAUUUGACAACUAUCCAUGAGGAUGUGGGUUUGAUCCCUGACCUCACUCCAUGAGUCAGGGAUCUGGCAUUGCCAUGAGCUGUAGUGUAGGUCACAGAUGAGGCUUGGAUCCUAUGUGGCUGUGGCUGUGGCAUAGGCCUAGAAAGACCUCUAGCGUGGGAACUUCCGUAUGCUGCAGGUGCAGCCCUGAAAGAGGAAAAAGAAAAAGCCACAAAAUGGUUUAUUUUUUUCUUUACUCUCCAUGAUGAAUAUGGUUUAAGAUAAGUGAUUUUUUUUUUUUUGGCUUUUUAGGGCUGCACCUGCAGUAUAUGGAGGUUUCCCAGGCUAGGACUAAAAUCGGAGCCACAGCUGCCAGCCACAGCCACAGCCACAGCCACAGCCACACCAGAUCUGAGCCCUGUCUGCACUAUACACCGCAGCUCAUGGCAACCCUGGAGGCUUAACCCAGCGAAUGAGGCCAGGGAUUGAACCCACAUACUCAUGGAUACUAAUCAGGUUGUUUCUGCUGAGCCACAAUGGGAAUUCCAAGACAUGUGACCUUAUUCAGAAAGUACAGGAAUGAGGAUACAAAGUGAGGGGAGAUCAAAAUUGCGAACAUGUAUGCUUCCCAAGAAAAAACAUAAAAAGGAAAUUUUGUUCAAUAAUACGGCAAUAGGCUUGCAUUUAUUAAACUGGGUAGGAGUUCCCAUCAUGGCUCAGUGGUUAAUGAAUCUGACUAGGAACCAUGAGGUUACGGGUUCGAUCCCUGACCUUACUCAUCUCACUAAAUAAUUAGAACAAAGGCACACAGUUUAUAAAAACUAAAUGCAAUAUUAUAUUUAACCACUCAAACCGACAAAAGGUUUUUUAGGUCACAUUUACUUCUGAUGUAAAGAACCCAGCAUUUUUGGAAAGACAGGUGAAAAGUUCUCUUAACUGAAUUAGAAGAAAUUUCAUAAUAAUAUCAAAACCCUUAAAAAUCUUAAUUUGAUUAAGAAUUCCACUUUUAGAGAUCUAUCCUAUGAAUCAAAAUAUAUUUACAAUGCAGUUUCCAAUUUUUCACUAUUAUGAAUACUCCCAUUGUUUAACAAUAGAACUAUGAACUAUGAAUCAAAAUAUAUUUACAAUGCAGUUUCCAAUUUUUCACUAUUAUGAAUACUCCCAUUGUUUAACAACAGAAUAUGAUUGAGGGUGGCUUAUACAUAUAAUGAAGCUUCAUGCAGACAGUUAAAAUUAUGCUUUCAAAUAGUUUAAACAGCAUGGCAAUAUAUAAUUAAAAUAUUAAGAAAAACAAAGUGAUAUUUAAACACAAUACUUACACAAUGUGUUGAAAAUAGGAACAGAGUAAAAAAACAGUGCGUCACAAUGUAGCAGUUUAUUUUAAAAAUUAUUUUAUCAUACAUCUAGUUCACGUUUGUUUAAUAAUCUGAAAACACAGAUAAGCAAAAUACAUACAUAUAUAUGUGGAGGCAUAAAGAGGAAGAGAGUUAAUUUUAUGUGUCAACUUGAUUGUUCCACAGGGUGCUCAGAACAUAAUUCUGGGUACUUCUGUGAGGGUGUUUUUGAAUGAGUUUAACAUUUAAAUUGAUAGACUGAUUAAGCAAAUUGCUCUUUGUAAUGUUGGUGGGCCUCAACCAAUUCAUUAAAGGUCUGCAUAGACCAAAAAACAAUUGACUCUGCCCCCUGCCUCUAGUAAAGGGAACUUCUCCUGCCUAAUUGCCUUUGAGCUAAAAUGUAAAUAUUAAGCUGGAACUGGUAUUUUCAGGCCUUCGGACCUGAUCUGAAACAUCAACUCUUCCUGGAUCCCCAGUUUGCCCACCACAAAUCUUGGGACUUAAUCUCAUAAUUCAGUUUUUAUAAACUUCUUUAUAUAAAUAGAUAUUAAUCCUAUUAGUUCUGUUCCUCUGGAGAAUUUAGACUAGUACAUAGAUAUAUAUAUAAGAAGAAGGGUACAUAAGUUUAUACUGCCACCAGCAUCAUAUCAAAGUUCCCAUCUGCCUACACCAAAGCCAAUGCU